UUUAGCACUAAUCAUGGGGUAAACAAUAGGUAUUUUAAAGCUAGCAUACGGCAACUUGGAGUUGUUGGGUGAUGGGUUAUUAUAGCUUCUCGAGUUUUGCACGUCUUGCCUAUACUCGUUGCUAGGAACUUCUGCCCAUCUUGGAGGCAUCUCUCAAGUUUGGCUCAGAGAAGAAGAAACUCCAAGCCUGCGUGGCGACGAUGAAGCUGGUUCGACCAGAUUAGUACAGUUUUUCAGCCAGCAGUGUGCGAUGUCAACCACCAUGAUGAAUCUGAGCUCGGCGCGGUUCGUUGCGAGUUGAGACGGGAUCUACAAACUGAAUCUGUCUCCCCGUUGAAGACCCUCUCUGUUAAAAGACUCACGGAAGAAACAAAAUGGUACUGCUAAUUAGGACUCCCUCUGUAAACUAAUAUAAGAUCUUUUAGAGUACUAUCGAGAAACAUUUCUGUUUCAAUUCUGUGAUAUCAAUCAAUUUUCUCGAA